CAUAGCUAAACUAAAGGUGUGUUAAAAAGCCGUCCAUCCAUCCAUCUUCAGCUUGUUCAACUGACGGUCACGAGGGGCUGGAACCUAUCAUUUGUUUUUCCAUCUAGUCUCUCAGCAUCCCGGAUGUUCAAGUGCAUAAUUCCAGCUAUGGUGGCUGCUGAAGGACAAACAACUCUGGCCACUAUUCAUCUGCAAUGAGUGUAGGCUGUCAGUCCACUGUUUACCUCAGCUGUCUAUAUCCUGUGGUGUCCACGUGUAUUUAUUCUGGAGGAGGCUGUAAAACUUUGUGAAAGAAGUCUGAUACAAGUUAAUGAGUCAAUGAAUCUCACUUCUGUCCAAUAACAGAGAUACUGAGAGCUCUGAGUUUAGAAGAUGAGGCUUCAGGUGAAGAGGAAGAACAUGACAUUUUUUAUUAAGACACCAGUCAUAUUGUCUUUUUUCUUCCCGUUUUCGCUUCUUUAGUGAUGAAGACCCCUUUACAGAUGAUAAAACAUACAGUACAUGUGGUCUUUCAUAGGCUGAGUCUGAAACGAACACCUACGAGUUCCCUUCUCCUUCACCUUUGGCAUUCUACAUAUGUGGCUGGUCUCCAAACACAUACAUAAAACACAAUAAAGCAAACAGCGACAUCCACCUCGGUCAGUGUAAUAAAGAUGGUGGGUCAACAUGGUGGCUUAAUUCUUAAUCAAAACUUUAUUCUAAGUUUGUUGGGAGAUCAUCAAUUUGUUGGGAGACAUAAUUACACAAUCAAUGUGUAUUUAUGAGUACAAUAUUCUUUUUUUCUAUUAAAUAAGCUCAAUAAAUGACUGACUGUACCUUUAAAGUUUAUUAGUGGCACAGGUGAGUCCAGACAGACUCUGCUCAUGUCGGCGCCUAUUCAACCAUAUCUGUUUUAGCAGCACACCCUCUCAUUCAAAUAUUGUCAUUUCUCAUUCCAAAACAAAACCUCUAUUAUAGAGUCCAUGCUUGGAGAUGAUCAGAUGAUAAGGUAACAUAGUUAGGGCUUCCCAAAUUGUACAUUUUUCCUUUAAAAGACAUUACUUCCUUCACUAGCUUCACUUUUUCUCAAAUCUCUUUUCUACUUAAGUUUACAAUUGACCAAGAAGAUGUCCAGCAAAAAGCAAAUUUUCCAUCCUCCGGAGACCUCACAGGGUUCCCUCUUAGCACUGGCCCCAGUCUGGGGUCCUGACACACAUACAGCCUUUAUUGAUCAGAUUAUAAAUAAAGCAGAGAGCAUAGCUGCAUGUGUGUCAGUUAAGGCAGACAGAGUUUCCGAGAGAGUGUUGAAGGUCAGCUGCUUUCUCUUUUUCAACCCUGCAUCCAAAGUAAACAUUCCAUCCGGCCUACAGUUGUCAGACUGCGGAGAGAGCGAAAGCAAAGCAAGAGAAAUUGGAAUGAGAAUUUCAAAGCACAUCGGAGGCGAAAGUGAACUUUUUUUUGCCUCCUGAAAAGCUAAGGUUUCACAGGUUUGGCUUUCCCAGCUCUGAAAUCCCCCAUGCCUCAACAGUUAUUCAUCUGGGUAGACAUCAUCAAUUACAACUAAUUAACCAGAUGAUGGUCUGGUGAGCAGAAAAUGGAAGAGGUGAUUCAUCACUUUGAGCACCUUUUGGGCUUCAUGCUCACAAAACUAAAAAAAACAAACAAAAACAAAACAAUGAGACUAAAAAGAGAUCUUAUUUUUUUUGUAACUGGGCUAAUGCCCAUAAAGGACAUGUCACAAGUAUUGUGGCAGAAUCCUUUCACCUGACAGCUAACAAAGGAAACAAACCUCAAUCCCUGAGCUUAGCACGGUUGGCCUAUGAAAUAAGGGGCACAGAGAAAAAGUAGUUGGGACAUAUUUCUGCAUAUUUCUUUUUUUAGAUUAAUAGAGUUUUCUUCCUCCACUAAGGCACAGCUUCUCUCCUCUUUUGUUUGUCUGUGUCAUGCUUCCUCUGUGGGUGAGUUACUGGCGGUUUGGGCGAUGACGUAAUUGUGGAAAAGUCCUGGGUGCAGUCAGACUUGUAAUUCAGUGAGGAAUUUUUCAUCUGGUCAAGGCUGGCUGCGUGCGUCUUUAUAAAUAAAGUUGUUAAGUCUUCAAAAGGGAAAAAAAAAAAGAUAGAGGAGCAGGAGAGCCAUUAAAUGAGCAGGCCCUUGCCUACUUACUAUACAGGCGCUGCUGAAAACCCUAUGAUAUUCAUUUCUAAUCCCGAUAACGUGGUCACAGGUCAGAUUUCUGUGCUGUUUACAGUGUGAGGUUCUGCAAAUAAGAACACGCUGAUGCUGAGCGUGAAAUAAUUCCUGUCUUGAUCCAGGAAAAUAUUUUCCUGACCAGAGCGAUCCAGAAUUUGUCCUCCAGACGGUGUUUUUGGGGAUCAUUCAAGGGCUGCUCAUGAGUCAGUUAAAAGAUGACUGCAUAAAUCACCAUAUUCAGUCGUUCUCCAUCAGUCACGUCGGUUUAGGCGAAUAAAAAUGAUGGCCACGAAUUACACAUUUAGACUUGCCUUUUCUAAAUACAGUACAGUUUUUUCCCCAGUAGUACAGCAGGAGCCCAGCAAGUGCUUGCUUGGUACGCCACUGCAGGGCACUGAAAUCAGCUACUGCUAUCAUCAGCUGUGUUUGAAGAGGGAGCCUGUGCUGUUUCAGUGGUAUGGCACUCCCCCGCCCCAUGUGUGCUUUAUUACCUCAUCUUCAGUGGUGAUUUAUGGCUCUCACAGAGACCACUUUUCUGGGCUGUUUAUAUCUGGUGAAGAUAAAAGAAAAUCAUGGCUUUAUUACCCAGAUGGAGUGGGUCUGUUUACACAGCGGAGGGCCUCAUCGGGGAGCUGCAACAUACCAGCAUCGCACAUAUCUGAUCUGCCUUUUCAGAAGCAAUAAACGACACGAGCACGCAAAUCAUCCCUCCCAACAUGACGGAUACGUGUUAAAUAUAAAACGGUAUCUGCUGGAGUACAAAUUCUUUUACUCUCUGCUCCUCGUGGUGAUGAGAGGGCAUCUCGUUCUGAUGAUUUGUGUGCUAAUAAACAGCUUUGCUCUCAUUAUGGAAAUAUUUUUCCAGAUUAAAGGAAAAAGCUGUGCGUUUUCACAGCCACGAUUGCUAUCGAUCGAUGUUUUCAGCAUGCAGAGAAAUUCAAGGUUGCCUUGUGCUUGCUCUCAUGUCCUCCCAGAGCUCCUUCUUGUGUGGCUGAUGCCUAAAAACUAUUUGGCUAUGGCGCCAUCUUGUGGAAAGAGUGCAUGACAGACAAAACUGCAAGUGUGAGACACAUGAUCAAAAGCUUUUUAUGAGAUUAAAUGGAUUUGGGGAACUGAUGUUACUUCAGGUCCACUACUCUAUGCAUUAUGUGUAGAUCAAAAUGAUACAAUAUAUGGAAAACUGAUAUAUAAGAGUUCUGCCUUUCUAAUUAUUAAAAAACCCUUUAUUAUGGAACAAAUUACUGGAAGACUUCAGCUGAAAACCGUAGUCACCAGUGGUGCAAUCAUCUUUACUUUUUCUCAUUGCUGUAGAUCAUUUCUUUUAUAAAUAUUAAUUACACUUAAAUUUUACAGUGCAGACUGCAUUGACAAAAUCUAUAUCAUAAAUGGAGGUUUAAUUGAACAAUGAUAUAGAAAUAAAUAAAUAUAUAAAGAAUGAUAGAAAUAUAGUUAUAGAGAUCAAAUCAAACAUGUUUCCUAUUACAUGAAUUAAGUUUUUUUAUUUUAAAGCAGCUUUAAAAUAUGACAAUAUUUUCAAAGCCAUCGCUCUACAUUGGCUCAUUGCAGUGAUGAACUUAGAAAUAUCACCUGAACCUUAAUGCAACUGAUUAUUUACAAUGCUUAAAUUUAUUAGCCCAUCACCCCAAUGUAAGGUUGACAUCACAGCUGUCCUAAAUUAACAGAAAUGGUAAUUACCAAAAUCCAUUGUUGAGUUUUUUCUAUUCAAAAUGCUAUUUUUAAUGCCAAAAUCUAAUUAUUGUUAUCUAUGAAUUUUCAAAUGUACCGUUUUUAAUUUUUAAUUUUUAAUUUUUAAUUAAGAUGCCAAAUUACAGUCAUUUACUAUUUACUAUAUUAUUCCUGGACAAAUUUGUUUCAUUGGUUGGAUGUUACGCUUGAUUUUCAGAGUAGUCCAGUGUGACGCCUCUAAUUUGAAAACAAAAACAUGAGUUCAGUCAUUUUUACUUUGUUGACAAUUUCUAAAAUACUUGUUUUUUUCGUUUUAUAAGAGGCAGUCUAAUAAACCUCAAGUCAGCAGCUUUACUGUUUUAAGCCAUUUGCUUUAAUAGCACUGUUUUCAGGCACAGCAGCAGGAAAAGCGCUAGAAACCCAGCUUUAUGUCAAAAUCAGAGUGGAGCACAGUCUGGAAUAACCACUUUAAAACUCACAUCACCCUAGAACAUAAGACGGUUACGCUUCCUCUUUGACAGCAUUAUUUAUUAGCCAGUACAGAUGAUUAACUGUGAUGUCAGGACAGUUUUUUUAACCAAGACAAAAAAACACUGGCAGCAGCUAACAAUGCACACUGACAUUGAGGUCAGUGAGGUCUAUGAACCAAAAGCAAGUUUUCAAAUCAGACAAAAAUAGUGUUUCAAUACACAGAAAUGACGGGCACUUUGUACUUCAUGUCAUUUGUACAGUUUCUCAUGAAUCAUCCUCACAGUGCCAUUAAGUUACUGUGCAACUUCAGACAAUAAUAAAACGAUCAUAUUUAUCCAAAGGAGAUCCUUUUUAAACAAAACUACGGAAUCAGUAAUUGUGAUGAUAUUGUGUAGCAUGUAUGGUUUUUUAUUAUACAUGUGAAGCAUGCAUGUUAUUCUCCUACUGCUGUCUGAAGGAUACACAAGCUAAAAGCGCAGAGGGGUGUGUGUGUGUGCGCGUGUGUGUGUGUGUGAUUCAUGGCUGGGAUUCACACAGAUUGUUCUCUACUCUGAUUUCUGAUUCUGCUCAUCGACUCAUCUUUCUAUAAUCUCACUCCCUCGACUUUGAACUUAAACUUUUAUUUUCUAUAAACAGCAGAGACGAAAAACUCACAAAAUACCCACAGCACAACACAGUUGAGACAAAACCUAUGUCAAGGGUGUGGAGCGAAAGGCUGGGAGCAACGAAUAUGGCGCAUAUAUAUAUUUAAUCAAAUUAAAGCUUCAUUUUAGUCAGAAAUGAUAUGCGUAUAUAAGGAUCUCCCCUCUAUGUAACCACAUGCUAAACUGCUUCUUACUGAUGAACUAUAUAGUGUUUAAGAUGAGAAAGAGGAGGUUUUUGGUACAUUACAAUAAACCGGACCAAGAAUCUAUAGUUAUCAGUUAAGUGUGCAACAAGUCGUGGUUUCAUAUAGUUUUAUAAACUGGGCAGCAUAGGGAUCUGCGGAUGUGACUUAAGCCAAAGCAUAAUAACAGCAUCUGAAAGCCUUAAAGAUGCAAAAUUAUCCUUAGGCUUCAAUGAGCUGAAUCAGAAAUCAGUUUUAAAUUAAAUUAAUCCCAGUUUGAAGGUAUUAGUUCGAAGAGCCUAACACUGGUGAA